rnacentral:rRNA from 1 species
UACAGAGGUCUCAAGCGUUGUUCGGAUUCAUUGGGCGUAAAGGGUGCGUAGGUGGCGCCGUAAGUCAGGUGUGAAAUUUCGGAGCUUAACUCCGAAACUGCAUUUGAUACUGCGGUGCUUGAGGACUGGAGAGGAGACUGGAAUUUACGGUGUAGCAGUGAAAUGCGUAGAGAUCGUAAGGAAGACCAGUGGCGAAGGCGGGUCUCUGGACAGUUCCUGACAGCUGAGGCACGAAGGCCAGGGAGCAAACGGG